CAGUAGCCGCGGGAAUACGAAGGGUGCAAGCGUUACUCGGAAUUACUGGGCGUAAAGCGUGCGUAGGUGGUGGUUUAAGUCCGUUGUGAAAGCCCUGGGCUCAACCUGGGAAUUGCAGUGGAUACUGGGUCACUAGAGUGUGGUAGAGGAUAGUGGAAUUUCCGGUGUAGCAGUGAAAUGCGUAGAGAUCGGAAGGAACAUCUGUGGCGAAGGCGACUAUCUGGGCCAACACUGACACUGAGGCACGAAAGCGUGGGGAGCAAACAGGAUUAGAUACCCGUGUAGCCUGUCUCUUAUACAC
rnacentral:rRNA from 1 species